ensembl:lncRNA
CAAUCACAGUGCGUUAUUCACCUAAACACUCAAUUAAAUUCACCUGUGUCGCCUGCCGCUACUUUUUAAAUCACACGUUGGUCCUGUUUCACUUUUGCGUUGUAUUGCGAAAUUGAAGUUGUGUUCGCCUUAGCAAGUUUGCCAUUUUCACCCCCGUUGUUAGCAUAGUAAUAUCGUCCAAGUAGCACCCCUCAUUUCAUUUCGUUUUUUUGUGUGGUUUUAACCGAACACUCUGCCUAGUGCCUACCCAGAUCCGUACUGCACGUGGGCAGAAGUAUUUGUAUUUUAUACAACAGCAUUAUUGCUGUGAUUCAAGCUAUUAAAAAACAACUCGGUGCCGCAAAGUGAUAUCCAUUCAUGUGCACUAUGGAUCUGGCACCGGUUGGUGACAGUUCCGCCAAUGGUGGAGCUUCAACGGGGAACACAACACACUUUGGUGUCUUGCAUUCCUACAAGCUGCUUGAAGAUAUUCCAGAAUGAAGCCCUUCUGCUCAAAGGCCGCUUGGAUGUCUAUUAAGCCAUGCUGUUCCAUUGCCAGCUUAUUAUUGUGCAGCCCAUACACUUAACCGUUCUUUGUCCUUUGGAAUUGUUGAGUGAACCAAUAGAUUCUGCCAUUACUGCUCUCUGGAAUCUACAAGGUACACUUGGAAGCGCGUUUCCAGGUCAAAAUGGGCCAAAAGCGCACCCACCAGAAAUGUGUCAAAAUAUCGUCCCUGGUACAAACAAGUGAAGUGAAG